AGAGUUUGAUCCUGGCUCAGGAUGAACGCUAGCUACAGGCUUAACACAUGCAAGUCGAGGGGCAGCAUGGUCUUAGCUUGCUAAGGCCGAUGGCGACCGGCGCACGGGUGAGUAACACGUAUCCAACCUGCCUUAUACUCCCGGACAGCCUUCUGAAAGGAAGAUUAAUACGGGAUGGCAUCACGAGCCAGCAUUUUCUCGUGAUUAAAGAACUUCGGUAUAAGAUGGGGAUGCGUUCCAUUAGAUAGUAGGCGGGGUAACGGCCCACCUAGUCGACGAUGGAUAGGGGUUCUGAGAGGAAGGUCCCCCACAUUGGAACUGAGACACGGUCCAAACUCCUACGGGAGGCAGCAGUGAGGAAUAUUGGUCAAUGGGCGCGAGCCUGAACCAGCCAAGUAGCGUGAAGGAUGACUGCCCUACGGGUUGUAAACUUCUUUUAUAAAGGAAUAAAGUGAGGCACGUGUGCCUUUUUGUAUGUACUUUAUGAAUAAGGAUCGGCUAACUCCGUGCCAGCAGCCGCGGUAAUACGGAGGAUCCGAGCGUUAUCCGGAUUUAUUGGGUUUAAAGGGAGCGUAGAUGGGUUGUUAAGUCAGUUGUGAAAGUUUGCGGCUCAACCGUAAAAUUGCAGUUGAUACUGGAUAUCUUGAGUGCAGUUGAGGCAGGCGGAAUUCGUGGUGUAGCGGUGAAAUGCUUAGAUAUCACGAAGAACUCCGAUUGCGAAGGCAGCCUGCUAAGCUGCAACUGACAUUGAGGCUCGAAAGUGUGGGUAUCAAACAGGAUUAGAUACCCUGGUAGUCCACACGGUAAACGAUGAAUACUCGCUGUUUGCGAUAUACAGCAAGCGGCCAAGCGAAAGCGUUAAGUAUUCCACCUGGGGAGUACGCCGGCAACGGUGAAACUCAAAGGAAUUGACGGGGGCCCGCACAAGCGGAGGAACAUGUGGUUUAAUUCGAUGAUACGCGAGGAACCUUACCCGGGCUUAAAUUGCAGAUGAAUUACGGUGAAAGCCGUAAGCCGCAAGGCAUCUGUGAAGGUGCUGCAUGGUUGUCGUCAGCUCGUGCCGUGAGGUGUCGGCUUAAGUGCCAUAACGAGCGCAACCCUUGUUGUCAGUUACUAACAGGUCAUGCUGAGGACUCUGACAAGACUGCCAUCGUAAGAUGUGAGGAAGGUGGGGAUGACGUCAAAUCAGCACGGCCCUUACGUCCGGGGCUACACACGUGUUACAAUGGGGGGUACAGAGGGCCGCUACCACGCGAGUGGAUGCCAAUCCCCAAAACCUCUCUCAGUUCGGACUGGAGUCUGCAACCCGACUCCACGAAGCUGGAUUCGCUAGUAAUCGCGCAUCAGCCACGGCGCGGUGAAUACGUUCCCGGGCCUUGCACACACCGCCCGUCAAG
rnacentral:rRNA from 1 species